CCCUUAACUAUUAAAAAUUUCGUUUUGGUCCCUUAACUUAGUUUUUGGUUUCGUUUUGGUCCCUUAACUCUUCCUCCGUCAACCACUUUGGUCCUUUAUGUUAGGAUGAAUGUAUUAGAGUUCAGGGACCAAAAUGAAACCAAAAAAUAAGUUAAGGGACCAAAACGAGACCAAAAAAUAAGUUAAGGGACCAAAACGAAACUUUUAAUAGUUAAGGGACCAAAAGAUAACCAAAAAAUAAGUUAUGGAACCGAAACGAAACUUUUAAUAGUUAAGGAA
rnacentral:pre_miRNA from 1 species